AGCAGCCGCGGUAAUUCCAGCUCCAAUAGCGUAUAUUAAAGUUGUUGCAGUUAAAAAGCUCGUAGUUGAAUUUCGGGAUCAAUAUAUUGGUCGUGCCUUUGGUAUGCACUGGUAUUAUUGAUUUCUACCUUCUGACGAACCAUGAUGUCAUUAAUUUGGUGUCAUGGGGAAUCAGGACUGUUACUUUGAAAAAUUAGAGUGUUUAAAGCAAGCACACGCUUGAAUACAUUAGCAUGGAAUAAUGAAAUAGGACGUUUGAUCUUAUUUUGUUGGUUUCUAGGAUCGACGUAAUGAUUAAUAGGGAUAGUUGGGGGCAUUAGUAUUCAAUUGUCAGAGGUGAAAUUCUUGGAUUUAUUGAAGACUAACUACUGCGAAAGCAUUUGCCAAGGAUGUUUUCAUUAAUCAAGAACGAAAGUUAGGGGAUCGAAGACGAUCAGAUACCGUCGUAGUCUUAACCAUAAACUAUGCCGACUAGGGAUCGGAUGAUGUUAAUUUUU
rnacentral:rRNA from 1 species